AGGAGGCAGCAGUGGGGAAUCUUGCACAAUGGGGGAAACCCUGAUGCAGCGACGCCGCGUGAGCGAUGAAGCCCUUCGGGGUGUAAAGCUCUUUCGUCAGGGAAGAUAAUGACGGUACCUGGAGAAGCAGCUGCGGCUAACAACGUGCCAGCAGCCGCGGUAAUACGUAGGCAGCGAGCGUUGUUCGGAGUUACUGGGCGUAAAGGGUGUGUAGGCGGUUGUUUAAGUUUGGUGUGAAAUCUCCCGGCUUAACUGGGAGGGUGCGCCGAAUACUGAAUGACUAGAGUGCGGGAGAGGAGAGUGGAAUUCCUGGUGUAGCGGUGAAAUGCGUAGAUAUCAGGAGGAACACCGGCGGUGUAGACGGCUCUCUGGGCCGUAACUGACGCUGAGACACGAAAGCGUGGGUAGCAAACAGGAUUAGAUACCCGGGUAGUCU
rnacentral:rRNA from 1 species